rnacentral:rRNA from 1 species
GGACUACCAGGGUUUCUAAUCCUGUUUGCUCCCCACGCUUUCGUGCCUCAGUGUCAGUAUCUGUCCAGAAAGUCGCCUUCGCCACUGAUGUUCCUUCCAAUAUCUACGCAUUUCACCGCUACACUGGAAAUUCCACUUUCCUCUACAGUACUCUAGCUUAACAGUAUUGAGCGCAGUUCCUAGGUUGAGCCUAGGUAUUUCACACCCAACUUAUCAAACCACCUACGCACCCUUUACGCCCAGUAAUUCCGAUUAACGCUUGCACCCUCUGUAUUACCGCGGCUGCUGGCAC